rnacentral:rRNA from 1 species
AUUGAACGCUGGCGGCAUGCUUUACACAUGCAAGUCGAACGGUAACAGGUCUUCGGAUGCUGACGAGUGGCGAACGGGUGAGUAAUGCAUCGGAACGUGCCCAGUCGUGGGGGAUAACGCAGCGAAAGCUGUGCUAAUACCGCAUACGAUCUAUGGACGAAAGCGGGGGACCGUAAGGCCUCGCGCGAUUGGAGCGGCCGAUGUCAGAUUAGCUAGUUGGUGGGGUAAAGGCCCACCAAGGCGACGAUCUGUAGCUGGUCUGAGAGGACGACCAGCCACACUGGGACUGAGACACGGCCCAGACUCCUACGGGAGGCAGCAGUGGGGAAUUUUGGACAAUGGGCGCAAGCCUGAUCCAGCAAUGCCGCGUGCAGGAAGAAGGCCUUCGGGUUGUAAACUGCUUUUGUACGGAGCGAAAAGGCUCUCUCUAAUACAGGGGGCUCAUGACGGUACCGUAAGAAUAAGCACCGGCUAACUACGUGCCAGCCGCCGCGGUAA